GGCUCUCGGCAACGGAUAUCUCGACUCUCGUAUCGAUGAAGAACAUAGUAAAAUGCGAUACCUGGUCUGAAUUGCAGACUCCUGUGAUCCAUCGAGUGUUUGAAUGCAAGUUGCACCCUAAGCCAUUCGGCCGAGGGCACGUCUGCCUGGGUGUCA
rnacentral:rRNA from 1 species